CCUACGGGAGGCAGCAGUGGGGAAUAUUGCACAAUGGAGGAAACCCUGAUGCAGCGACGCCGCGUGAGUGAAGAAGUAUUUCGGUUUGUAAAGCUCUAUCAGCAGGGAAGAAGAUAGACGGUACCUGACUAAAAAGCCCCGGCUAAUUACGUGCCAGCAGCCCGGGUAAAACGUUGGGGGCAAGCGGUAUCCGGAUUUACUGGGUGGAAAGGGUGCGUAGGCGGCUGUGCAAGUCUGAAGUUAAAGCCCAGGGCUCAACCCUGGGACUGCUUUGGAAACUGUGGGGCUAGAGUGAAGGAGAGGUAGGUGGAAUUCCUAGUGUAGCGGUGAAAUGCGUAGAUAUUAGGAGGAACACCAGUGGCGAAGGCGGCUUACUGGACAGUAACUGACGUUGAGGCUCGAAAGCGUGGGGAGCAAACAGGAUUAGAUACCCCGGUAGUC
rnacentral:rRNA from 1 species